rnacentral:rRNA from 1 species
CACUCCUACGGGAGGCAGCAGUGGGGAAUUUUGGACAAUGGGCGAAAGCCUGAUCCAGCAAUGCCGCGUGAGUGAAGAAGGCCUUCGGGUUGUAAAGCUCUUUUGUCAGGGAAGAAACGGUGAAAGCUAAUAUCUUUUGCUAAUGACGGUACCUGAAGAAUAAGCACCGGCUAACUACGUGCCAGCAGCCGCGGUAAUACGUAGGGUGCAAGCGUUAAUCGGAAUUACUGGGCGUAAAGCGUGCGCAGGCGGUUUUGUAAGUCUGAUGUGAAAUCCCCGGGCUCAACCUGGGAAUUGCAUUGGAGACUGCAAGGCUAGAAUCUGGCAGAGGGGGGUAGAAUUCCACGUGUAGCAGUGAAAUGCGUAGAUAUGUGGAGGAACACCGAUGGCGAAGGCAGCCCCCUGGGUCAAGAUUGACGCUCAUGCACGAAAGCGUGGGGAGCAAACAGGAUUAGAAACCCCAGUAGUCCCAUG